rnacentral:rRNA from 1 species
ACCCGCUGAACUUAAGCAUAUCAAUAAGCGGAGGAAAAGAAACCAACCGGGAUUACCUCAGUAACGGCGAGUGAAGCGGUAACAGCUCAAAUUUGAAAUCUGGCUCCUGCGGAGUCCGAGUUGUAAUUUGUAGAAGAUGCUUUGGGAGGUAGGGCCGGCCUAAGUUCCUUGGAACAGGACAUCAGAGAGGGUGAGAAUCCCGUAUGUGGCCGCGGCCUACGCCCGUGUAAAGCUCUUUCGACGAGUCGAGUUGUUUGGGAAUGCAGCUCAAAAUGGGUGGUAAAUUUCAUCUAAAGCUAAAUAUUGGCCAGAGACCGAUAGCGCACAAGUAGAGUGAUCGAAAGAUGAAAAGCACUUUGGAAAGAGAGUUAAACAGUACGUGAAAUUGUUGAAAGGGAAGCGCUUGCACCCAGACUUGGGCGUCGUCGAUCAUCCGAGGUUCUCCUCGGUGCACUCGGCGAGGCACAGGCCAGCAUCGGUUUGGAUGGUUGGAGAAAGGCGCUAGGAACGUAGCUCUCUUCGGGGAGUGUUAUAGCCUAGGGCGUAAUGCAGCCCAUCCGGACCGAGGACCGCGCCUUCGGGCUAGGAUGCUGGCGUAAUGGUUGCAAGCGACCCGUCUUGAAACACGGACCAAGG